GGCCUGCAAUGCUCAUGGGCUCUAUUGUGUACCCUUGUAUGACACUUUAGGUUCUGGUGCUGUGGAGUUUAUCAUAUGCCAUGCAGAAGUUUCAAUAGCACUUGUAGAGGAAAAAAAGAUUAACGAGCUGCUUAAAACAUUUCCAAAGGCAUCCGAAUACUUGCGAAAAAUUGUUAGCUUUGGGACGGUAACACCCAAGCAGAAAGC